rnacentral:rRNA from 1 species
GGUGAACGCUGGCGGCGUGCCUAACACAUGCAAGUCGAUCGGAGCAGCAAUGCUUAGAGGCGAACGGGUGAGGAAAACGUAGUAACCAACCCUUUAGACUGGGAUAGCCACUGGAAACGGUGGGUAAUACCGGAUAAGCUCGAGAGAGGAAAGGCAGAGAAGCGCUAAAGGACGGGACUGCGCCCCAUCAGAUAGUUGGUGAGGUAAAGGCUUACCAAGUCAAAGACGGGUAGCCGGACUGAGAGGUCGACCGGCCACACUGGAACUGAGACACGGUCCAGACUCCUACGGGAGGCAGCAGUAAGGAAUAUUGCUCAAUGGCCGAAAGGCUGAAG